AGUCCAAAGGGUGAUGGAGUCCACCUUGCAACGCCGAAUUGGCUGAUGACUCCUCUGAUAAG
rnacentral:ncRNA from 2 species